GAUGAACGCUGGCGGCGUGCUUAACACAUGCAAGUCGAACGGAAAGGCCCAAGCUUGCUUGGGUACUCGAGUGGCGAACGGGUGAGUAACACGUGGGUGAUCUGCCCUGCACUUCGGGAUAAGCCUGGGAAACUGGGUCUAAUACCGGAUAGGACCACAUUUUGGAUGGUGUGGUGGAAAGUUUUUCGGUGUGGGAUGAGCUCGCGGCCUAUCAGCUUGUUGGUGGGGUAAUGGCCUACCAAGGCGUCGACGGGUAGCCGGCCUGAGAGGGCGUACGGCCACAUUGGGACUGAGAUACGGCCCAGACUCCUACGGGAGGCAGCAGUGGGGAAUAUUGCACAAUGGGCGCAAGCCUGAUGCAGCGACGCCGCGUGGGGGAUGACGGCCUUCGGGUUGUAAACUCCUUUCGCUAGGGACGAAGCGUUAUGUGACGGUACCUGGAGAAGAAGCACCGGCUAACUACGUG
rnacentral:rRNA from 1 species